GACGAACGCUGGCGGCGUGCUUAACACAUGCAAGUCGAACGGAAAGGCCCUGCUUUUGUGGGGUGCUCGAGUGGCGAACGGGUGAGUAACACGUGAGUAACCUGCCCUUGACUUUGGGAUAACUUCGGGAAACUGGGGCUAAUACCGGAUAGGAGCUCCUGCUGCAUGGUGGGGGUUGGAAAGUUUCGGCGGUUGAGGAUGGACUCGCGGCUUAUCAGCUUGUUGGUGGGGUAGUGGCUUACCAAGGCUUUGACGGGUAGCCGGCCUGAGAGGGUGACCGGCCACAUUGGGACUGAGAUACGGCCCAGACUCCUACGGGAGGCAGCAGUGGGGAAUAUUGCACAAUGGGCGGAAGCCUGAUGCAGCAACGCCGCGUGCGGGAUGACGGCCUUCGGGUUGUAAACCGCUUUCGCCUGUGACGAAGCGUGAGUGACGGUAAUGGGUAAAGAAGCACCGGCUAACUACGUG
rnacentral:rRNA from 1 species